AAGAGCAGUCUGUUGCUGAUAAUCCUAACGCUGCCCCUGGAAAUGGCAUGUUAUUUUCAGAGAUUCAUAUCCUCCAUGUGGGUUUGGAAACAUCUGUUCAGACCAGAACAUAUCGGUGGAAGCUAUAUUUUGUUCCUCUCCAUGCGAGCCCAGGUGGCUGCAUCGACACGCCAUGUACUGUCUGAUGGGAAGUAUCUGUUAUUAUUUCUAUGAGAAGACACCUGGCAUGGCGAAGAAGGUGCUGGCAACUGUAGGAACCAUACUGGAUGCCUGCUGGUUCUCUUUCACAGGUAGUGGCCCAUCCCGAGCCCUGGUGAUGCAAUCCAACU
rnacentral:lncRNA from 12 species